rnacentral:rRNA from 1 species
CCUUUAAUUGUGGGCUAGAAUGAAUGGACAAACGAAAGAUCCGCUGUCUCUAAUCUACAUAUAAAAAUUGACCUACAGGUGAAGAGACCUGUAUUAAAAUAAAGGACAAGAAGACCCCGUAGAGCUCCGCUUAAAGUUGGUCAUUAAUAGCAACUAUUUAUAGUUGGUUCUUCCUUCAACUUAAGCUUGGCUGGGGCGGCCAAGGAGAAACUAUAUCCUCCAUUUUCAUCUACUUUUGCUUUUUAAGGUUUAUUUACCAUAACAUAAAUUGACCCUUUUUAGAUCAAAAAAUUAAGCUACCUC